rnacentral:rRNA from 1 species
UACAGAGGGGGCAAGCGUUAUUCGGAAUUAUUGGGCGUAAAGCGUGCGCAGGCGGCUUCGCAAGUCAGGCGUGAAAUCCCCGGGCUUAACCUGGGAAUGGCGUCUGAAACUACGGAGCUGGAGUGUGGCAGAGGGAGGUAGAAUUCCACGUGUAGCGGUGAAAUGCGUAGAUAUGUGGAGGAAUACCGAUGGCGAAGGCAGCCUCCUGGGCCAACACUGACGCUCAUGCACGAAAGCGUGGGGAGCAAACAGG